rnacentral:rRNA from 1 species
GACGAACGCUGGCGGCGUGCUUAACACAUGCAAGUCGAACGGAAAGGCCCUGCUUUUGUGGGGUGCUCGAGUGGCGAACGGGUGAGUAACACGUGAGUAACCUGCCCUUGACUUUGGGAUAACUUCAGGAAACUGGGGCUAAUACCGGAUAGGAGCUCCUGCUGCAUGGUGGGGGUUGGAAAGUUUCGGCGGUUGGGGAUGGACUCGCGGCUUAUGAGCUUGUUGGUGGGGUAGUGGCUUACCAAGGCUUUGACGGGUAGCCGGCCUGAGAGGGUGACCGGGGACAUGGCGACUGAGGUACGGCCCAGACGCCUACGGGAGGCAGCAGUGGGGAGUAUGGCACAACGGGCCGACGCCUGAUACAGCAACGUCGGGUUCGUGAUGACGGCCUUCUGGUUGUAAACCGCUGUAGCUUGUGACGAAGCGGGAGUGACGGUAAUGGGUGAAGAAGCACCGGCUAACUACGUG